rnacentral:rRNA from 1 species
GACGAACGCUGGCGGCGUGCUUAACACAUGCAAGUCGAACGGAAAGGCCCUGCUUUUGUGGGGUGCUCGAGUGGCGAACGGGUGAGUAACACGGGAGUAACCUGCCCUUGACUGUGGGAUAACUUCAGGAAACUGGGGCUAAUACCGGAUAGGAGCUCCUGCUGCAUGGGGGGGGUUGGAAAGUUUCGGCGGAUGGGGAUGGACUCGCGGCUUAUCAGCUUGUUGGGGGGGUAGUGGCUUACCAAGGCUUUGGCGGGUAGCCGGCCUGAGAGGGUGACCGGCCACAUUGGGCCUGAGGUACGGCCCAGACUCCUACGGGAGGCAGCGGUGGGGAAUAUUGCCCAAUGGGCGGAAGCGUGAUGCAGCAACGCCGCGUGCGGGAUGACGGCCUUCGGGUUGUAAACCGCUUUCGCCUGUGACGAAGCGUGAGUGACGGUAAUGGGUAAAGAAGCACCGGCUAACUACGUG